CCAGUCUGCUGAGACAAUGAAACUGAGGACAGCCUGUGUGAAUACUGUGGAUACUUCAAGAUAUUCCCUACAGUUAUGACCCUUCUGUCAUAUUUUCCAUCUUCCACUGAUUCUUCUCAUUCUGAAGUGAAACAGUCAAAAUCAUGAUGGCACAAAGGAGCGCUGAGCUGAGCAAGAAAUUGUCACUUCUGAGCUGCUUUCCACAGUAUCUUUCUCCAUGCAAGUAGUAAUUGAAAAACACAAGGAGAUGAGAGUGAAUCCUCUAAGGAAAAUGGAAAAUUCUCUUACUCUUCAAAGGCAAAGCUGAAUUGAACUGCUACUGUAAAAGCUGCACAGAUAGAACCUCGGCUGAGAUAGAAACCUUUAUGAGCAGACCAAUUGGCAACAACCUACUGCCUGAUUACAGUGCCAGGAGCACAACAAAGAGCAGAGACCAUGUCUAUGCAGCAUUUGAAGAUCUCAAAGAAGGAGGCUCUACAGUCUCUCUGGGCAGCUUGUGCCAGUGCACUCUCAUGUGCACAGCACAGAAAUGCUUCCUGAUAUGUUGAUGGAACCUCUUUGUUCCAGUUUUUUUCUGUUGUUUCUUGUCCUGGCACAGAAGAGUGUGGUUCUAUCCACACUGCUGAGAUUUCCCUGGUCCUCAUGCAAGCUGAGAAAUCCCAGCCCUCAGCAUUUCAGCACAGACAGAAAUCAGUUAUGUAAAGUCUUCUGCAAAUAUUCAGUGUGCUGGCUCUUCUUAGAACUGUCCCUGUGUCAACACAGACUGCCUGACACUCAUCAGAAGAUCUACCAAUGAGAGAAGAAAUACAAAAAAUAACACAUGAUGUUCUUUUAUAUAAAAAUAUAAAAAUAUUUAGAUAUAAAUAUAUAUUCCAUGUUAACAAUAAGGCUUCUUCUCAUGUUUUUCAUUUUUCCUCUUGUGACUUUAAGAUUUUGUACUGACUGGAUGCAAGAGAGUAUUACUAAAUAAAAGUAAAGUUCACAGACA
rnacentral:lncRNA from 1 species